UACGGAGGGAGCUAGCGUUGUUCGGAAUUACUGGGCGUAAAGCGCACGUAGGCGGCUUUGUAAGUUAGAGGUGAAAGCCCGGGGCUCAACUCCGGAACUGCCUUUAAGACUGCAUCGCUCGAAUCCGGGAGAGGUGAGUGGAAUUCCGAGUGUAGAGGUGAAAUUCGUAGAUAUUCGGAAGAACACCAGUGGCGAAGGCGGCUCACUGGACCGGUAUUGACGCUGAGGUGCGAAAGCGUGGGGAGCAAACAGG
rnacentral:rRNA from 1 species